UACAGAGGGGGCAAGCGUUGUUCGGAUUUACUGGGCGUAAAGCGCGUUCAGGCGGUUUGACAAGUCGGGCAUGAAAUCUCUCGGCUCAACCGGGAGAGGUUGUCCGAUACUUUCAGACUUGAGGGCAGUAGAGGGUGGUGGAAUUCCACGUGUAGCAGUGAAAUGCGUAGAGAUGUGGAGGAACACCGAUGGCGAAGGCAGCCCCCUGGGCUAACACUGACGCUCAUGCACGAAAGCGUGGGGAGCAAACAGG
rnacentral:rRNA from 1 species